rnacentral:lncRNA from 1 species
GAAGGCCGCUGUGGAGACUGGAGGAAGCGCUUCCGGGCGGGGAAGGCCGUUGCGCAGCCUGGAGGAAGCGCUUCUGGGUGGGGAAGGCCGCUGGGAGCAUGAACUUCUGAGCAGGCUGUGUUUUUUUCCUGCCUUUUUAACAUGUCAUAAAAUUUUUUGUGAAAAGCUGGACUUAAUGUAUUGGAGAAUUGAAACUGAGUUGGAAGAUUCUGUGCCUGUUGUCAAGGUGACACUCCCCGGAAUUUUAAAGAGAAGUUUUAAAGUAGGAUGCUUUGGCUAGUAUUUGCAGAAACAUAUACACUUUUUUUACAUGAUAAGGAAAACAACAGAUAUUUAUUCUUCAUCCCAGGGGGAAAAAAACCCUUGGAGGAAUAAUUCAGAGGCAACAUCCUUAACGGGUGAUCAGUAGACACAAGACUCAUCCCAGUGAGCCACUGGUUCUGGCAGCUGUGUGACUUUGGACAGAGAUAUCUACAAUCUUUCAAUAUUGUUUGUGCACCAACUGCAUUCUCCACGUUGUAUUACUGCAGAUUUAUUGAUGAGUAAAACAAAUUCCUACCCUCAAGGAGUUUGCAAGCAAAAGAGUGAAAUGAAGAUGAAAGUGCAAUGCUCCACUGUCUUUUCGUGUGCUCAGAGAUUACUUUCUUAAUCUUUAAAAUGAAAGGCUUUUGCCUAAAUGACUGAGUGAUGUUGCACCUAUAACCCUAAUAUUCUUUGAUUCCCAAGGACAAGAAUCAGAACUAACAAGGUAUAUAAUGACAAAAGAAUUUUCAUUAUGAGGAACUUAUCAAGAAAUCAUAGAGUGGAGAGACUUGCACUAAAAACACUUAAAAUGAAUGGGAAGCCCGUCAGCAUAUUGUAUGUCCAUAUUUUCCAAAAAGAGUUAAGUUUGUAAGCUACUGCAUAGGACCAUGGGAAUUCUGGAUGUCCUUGGACUGUAUCACAUGUGGUUUCUUGGCAUCUUAGAUGAUGCAAUUUUUUAUUGCUUUGUCCGUGCAAUAAACGCUGAUAAAUUUUUCGGUUUAAAAUUUACCAAGUCUGCUACUGUAUCCCAGAAUUCUCAAUGAAAGAAAAUAUUUACAGUUUUUAACAUUACAGGUAGAAAAAGGAUCAAAGUGAUUUUCUUAAAUUUCCUUCUAAUUCAUGGAAAAAAGAACACAGUCAGUGAGGGUCUUUGCUCCUGUUCCCCAAUUUUCUUUGUCCAAAUGGCUCAGCCUUGAAUUCAAGAGGAGUGGUGCAGGAUUUAAUUGCUCCCACUUGUCUUCCUUGUGCAAAACUGCAGCUAGAAGAGCAAAUGAUAAGUUGAGAAUAUUUAACACUCAGCAACAAUACCAGGAACUUGUUCAAACUUUGUUUUUGAAGCUUCUUGACCUUCCAAUGAUUUAUUUCUUCCACACAUGGUUUCAUUAGAACUUCACUUGGAGAAGAAGAGAAAUAGCAAAUAACAGCAUCUUUCAUCUAUAACCAGAAUAUUCCAAGCCUUUCAAAAGUUGUUGCAAAAAGAAUAAAGUAUGAGCUACCU